rnacentral:lncRNA from 1 species
GCAGGGCCGUAACUACAUUGAGGCAAAUGAGGCAAAUGCCUCAUGUUAGAAAUUUCAAAAAAAAAAAAAACUUAAACAAAAGAUUGUCUUAAUAUCAAAUUGUUUUCAAGGAAAGUGUCUAGCAAGAAGCAAGUUCUCUUCACUCUCUGGUGUCGCCCCUGCAUGUUUUUCGUGAUCCAUGUUUCUAUUUUACUUUUAGUUUUCAG